CCCUUAGAUGUUCGGGGCCGCACGCGCGCUACACUGAAGGAAUCAGCACGUCUUUCUCCUUGUCCGAAAGGACUGGGUAACCCGCUGAACCUCCUUCGUGCUAGGGAUUGGGGCUUGUAAUUCUUCCCCAUGAACGAGGAAUUCCCAGUAAGCGCGAGUCAUAAGCUCGCGUUGAUUACGUCCCUGCCCUUUGUACACACCGCCCGUCGCUACUACCGAUUGGAUGGUUUAGUGAGAUCCUCGGAGUGGUCCCGGCGCGGCCUCUGGUCGUGCCGGAGUGCCGAAAAGAAUGUCGAACUUGAUCAUCUAGAGGAAGUAAAAGUCGUAACA
rnacentral:rRNA from 1 species